UACGUAGGCAGCGAGCGUUAAUCGGAAUUACUGGGCGUAAAGCGUGCGCAGGCGGUCUGUUAAGACCGAUGUGAAAUCCCCGGGCUUAACCUGGGAACUGCAUUGGUGACUGGCAGGCUUUGAGUGUGGCAGAGGGAGGUAGAAUUCCACGUGUAGCAGUGAAAUGCGUAGAGAUGUGGAGGAAUACCGAUGGCGAAGGCAGCCUCCUGGGCCAACACUGACGCUCAUGCACGAAAGCGUGGGGAGCAAACAGG
rnacentral:rRNA from 1 species